rnacentral:rRNA from 1 species
UACGAAGGGGGCUAGCGUUGCUCGGAAUCACUGGGCGUAAAGCGCACGUAGGCGGCUUGUUAAGUCAGGGGUGAAAUCCUGGAGCUCAACUCCAGAACUGCCUUUGAUACUGGCGAGCUUGAGUUCGGGAGAGGUGAGUGGAACUGCGAGUGUAGAGGUGAAAUUCGUAGAUAUUCGCAAGAACACCAGUGGCGAAGGCGGCUCACUGGCCCGAUACUGACGCUGAGGUGCGAAAGCGUGGGAGCAACAGGG